AAGGAGUCAUAGUUCCACUAAUCAGGAGAUCGAGAAGGAGUCAUAGUUCCACUCAUCAGGAGGUCUAGAAGGAGUCAUAGUACCACUAAUCAGGAGGUCUAGAAGGAGUCAUAGUUCCACUAAUCAGGAGGUCUAGAAGGAGUCAUAGUACCACUAAUCAGGAGGUCUAGAAGGAGUCAUAGUACCACUAAUCAGGAGGUCUAGAAGGAGUCAUAGUUCCACUAAUCAGGAGGUCUAGAAGGAGUCAUAGUACCACUAAUCAGGAGGUCUAGAAGGAGUCAUAGUACCACUAAUCAGGAGGUCCAGAAGGAGUCAUAGUUCCACUAAUCAGGAGGUCUAGAAGGAGUCAUAGUACCACUAAUCAGGAGGUCUAGAAGGAGUCAUAGUACCACUAAUCAGGAGGUCUAGAAGGAGUCAUAGUUCCACUAAUCAGGAGGUCUAGAAGGAGUCAUAGUACCACUAAUCAGGAGGUCUAGAAGGAGUCAUAGUUCCACUAAUCAGGAGGUCUAGAAGGAGUCAUAGUUCCACUAAUCAGGGGGUCUAGAAGGAGUCAUAGUUCCACUAAUCAGGAGGUCUAGAAGGAGUCAUAGUUCCACUAAUCAGGGGGUCUAGAAGGAGUCAUAGUUCCACUAAUCAGGGGGUCUAGAAGGAGUCAUAGUUCCACUAAUCAGGAGGUCUAGAAGGAGUCAUAGUUCCACUAAUCAGGAGGUCUAGAAGGAGUCAUAGUUCCACUAAUCAGGGGGUCUAGAAGGAGUCAUAGUUCCACUAAUCAGGAGGUCUAGAAGGAGUCAUAGUUCCACUAAUCAGGGGGUCUAGAAGGAGACAUAGUAGCACUAAUCAGAACUUCCAGAUGAAAGUUUGCUGAUGAACAGGAGAAGAAGCCUGAUUUCUUUGGUCAGAUGAAGAUCAAUGAGUUGGGCUCAGAUGGAGUCCAGAUGUUUGGUAAGAACCUGACCAGGACUACCACAGUGGAUGCAUGGUCCUGACAGUGAAGCAGGAGGUGGGAGUGUGAUGGUAUCCUCGUAAAUACUCUAUUUAAAGGUAAUCUGAUUACUGUGAGGUCCAACAUUUUAAGAUCAUUUUAGUCUGAGGUGAUGUUUCUCUGUUGUUGGUUCUUUGUUCUCAGUUAUCUCAGUAUUUUUUAUCAGUAUUUACAUAAAAUAUUGUGUUUAUUAAACAUUUUUCCUAUUAAAUGUUAUGUAAAUUAAGUAUUAUGUGGGUUCUGCUGGUUCUGAUGACUAACUGGACCGUCAGCGUUCCUUCAUCUGAUCUUGUGACCAUCAUCAUGAGUUCAUGUGACCAUCAGUCUGGUUGGUUUCUCUUCAGUCAUCAUGUUUAUUUCCUCCAGUUUUACUUCAUUUCUGACCCUUCUGACCAGAAGCAUGACAACGAUAGAAACCAGCUGAGUCACAAACUGGUGAUUCAGCUGAUGAAGACACAAACAAGGAAACAUCUGCAGCUCGUUUCAGGACUUUAACUCAAAUAAAGUGAGGAAAAAGUGAUUCACAGUGAAAACUGUUGAGCAGCAGCUGAACAGAAUUACAUUAAAGUAGGUCAGGGUCAACCAGCUAACCGUCUGUUUACCAGGCAACAGCCACCGCUACCUUCAGGCUGAAACAGGAAGUGGUUUUCAGACACUCAGCUCGUCUUCUGCAUGAACCGUUUGUGGUUAAAAAUUGUGUUUCUAAAGUGUCUGAAGAUUCUCUGUAACCGAGAAUUAAAGGAACUCGGAGCAACUGCUUUACUGGGAUUUAAAGACCAGAAAACCACUAGAGGAGACCAACUCUGGUCAGAGAAGAAGUUCAUUAAACCUGAUUUAGUUCCAGUUCUCUCAGUGGAAACAGCCCAUGUCUUAGGAACUCCAGCUUCUGCUCUUUGAAGCUCUUUAGCUGAUCUUCUGGUUCCUCCUCCCUCAGAGCAGCUGAACCUGCUGCUGCAUCGACCACGUCUUUACAGCUUCCAGAUUUUAGUCUCAUUUUAUAUUUAUAUGCUCACUUCACUGUUUACCUGCACACUAAUUUAAUAGAAAGUUUACCUGAAUAUUAGUUUAAUAAAAAACUUUCACAUCUAAUGGAGAUUUAAAAUAAGAAGAUUCACAGUUUAGCAUCAGUUUAUAUCACAUAAUGAAGUCCCUGAAAAGUCCACCUGUUCAGGUAUCGUCUACCUGUCCAGGUGUGGUCCAGGUGUCCAGGUGUGGUCCAGAUGUGUCCAGGUGUCCAGGUGUGGUUCAGGUGUGGUCCAGGUGUCCAGGUGUGGUUCAGGUGUGGUCCAGGUGUCCAGAUGUGUCCAGGUGUGUCCGUCAGCAGUGAGGAAGCUGAACUUUGUAGUAAACUUCGGCUGCAGCAGCAGCAGGGACUCUGCUGGUGGGAAACCGGAUCUCCUCGUACUG